GAUGAAGAACGUAGCGAAAUGCGAUACUUGGUGUGAAUUGCAGAAUCCCGUGAACCAUCGAGUCUUUGAACGCAAGUUGCGCCCGAAGCCAUUAGGCCGAGGGCACGCCUGCCUGGGCGUCACACGUCGUUGCCCCCCCAUCUACUCCUUCGGGAUUGCGGGGGGCGGAUGAUGGCCUCCCGUGCGCCUCGUUGCGCGGUUGGCAUAAAUGCCAAGUCGUGUGCGGUCGUCGCGCAUCGAGGGCUCGAAAAAAUUGCCGGGCUCCGGCUCGGCUUUCAACGCGACCCCAGGUCAGGCGGGGUUACCCGCUGAAUUUAAGCAUAUCAAUAAGCGGAGGA
rnacentral:misc_RNA from 1 species